CCAGGCUGACGCCAUCCCCUCCUGUCCCAGCUCCUGGCCCCCUGCCCUGCCCUGCCCGGCACUGAGGCACUGAAGGCAGUCACCAAAGGCCGAAGCAACUGAGCUGCUCAGAGCAGAGCAGAGCAGGAAGGGCUUUCGGGCAGCUGAGUCCAUUGACAGGAACGGGCAGUCUCAGUCUCUGAGGGCUUCUAAGAAGGGGGCAGAGGCCACGCUGCCCCAGGCAGCACUGGGCACCAACCCCAACUUCCUUGUUCCCGGAGAGGGUGGGGUUGGAAGAAGGAAGAUUUGGGCUUCUGGAAUGGCCUCCAGCUCAGAGCACAAACAGGGCAGUGCCAGAGCCCCUGUUGGGUCAGGUUUGGAACAUUUAUAUUCCUUGUCCCUCAGAGCGCAGGCCCUCCACCUCCAGGAAGCCCUGCCUGCCUGCCCCAGCUUCCUUCUCUUUUCCUCCCUAGGUAGCAACUCAAUUCGAGGACCACCACCGAAAGGCAUUCUGGGCGGCAGAGCAACCAAGACCAAUGAGCCCCGCCCUCUGAGGACUGCAACACUAAGCUGGACCAGGAAGAGAACACAGGGAGCACAAAUACACACUUCUCCACUGGAGCAUGGAGGGAAAAUAUUCUAGCUAAAAUGCCCAGACUUAGCUAGGCUGAAGCAAGGCCUAGACCUCAAGCAGGCAGAUGCUGGUUGAGCACGGGCCCAUCCCUCAGCCUUUCUGUGCCUCGGUUUCCCUGGAGGAAGAGUGGAGUCAAACACAGGGAGCCUUGGAGCUGGGCAGGCUCUCCCUCUCCAGAGGUUCACGGCAGCUCACGACGUACCCUGGCCUGAACCUGCAUUUGAGAGGCACGUGAGACGCUCCUGAGGAGAAAGACACAGCCUUGCCAAGAUGGGGUGGCCUAGAAGGUGUUCAAGAGUACAUACUCCCCCCCCCCAGACCUCCCCAGUGCAAGCUGAGGCUUCAAGGGAUGGUUGGACAUCAGGGUCACUCUUGACUUCUAGCCCUAGCCGGCCACCUCUCAGAGCACGGCCCUGCUCUCGCCACGCCCUCAGACUCCUUGGACAUCUCAGUGUAACGUGCAAGCUUGGCCACUGGCUCUCGGGCUCAGAGUCCAAGUCCUGUUCAGUCUUCUGAGAUCUGGCAGGGAAGGACCCCAGUCCUGGAGCUCCAGGGGACCCUUUGAAGGAACCCUGAGGCUGCCAAGGGAAUUACAAACAUAAAAAUAAAGUACACCUGCCUCUCCUUUCUUCAAAACGAACCAGUCUGGUGUAGAAUCUGACAUUCUGAAUCUGAACCAACGUUUGUUUUAACUCCACACAGUUGAUGUGGUGGUGAACACCUAGCUCCUUGGAGGGCUGAGGCAGGGGAAUGGAGAGUUCAAGGCCAACUGAAGCUGCAUAGUGAGACUUAUGUACAUGGUUCCAGGCAUGAGACCAGCCCUGAGCAAACCUGACAGGAAUGCGGAGCCUCAGGCCCCUCACCACUGAGAAGCAUCAAGCUAGUCCCCAGGUCCCAGAGCAGCGGGGACACAGACCCAGAACAGCAAAUGAGAGGGAGCAGGGAUUCCAGGAGGGUCUACACCUCGGUGACCAGAGGUGGCAAAUGCCUUCCUUGGGGUGCCUCGUCUCAUCCUUUCCCUCUCCUAUGAGGGGAUCUGAAAGACAGGUAACAGACAGGAAGGCUGAAGCCGAGGCAAAGGCUCAGACGUCCCUGGAGCUGGCCUAACUAACCCCGCAAGGUUCCUGGUUCUACCAAACAGCAGGUUUGCCAUUGUCUGCAUACCCUCCAAGGCAGGGAAGGACGGCAUUGCCCUGCCAUGCGAUGGAUGAGGGGCCUGGGCUCAGGCUUGGGAGCCAUGGGUGAAGCCUGCUGCCAGGGGACGGCACCUCAGAGAAGCAGCGGUAAGGGUUACUGUUGACCUGGGGUGACUAGUCCUGGCAGUAUCCUCAGUGGGCAUCAAGUCUGCCUGAAAGACUUCAGGUCCCUCCCAAGGGCUGCCCUCUGGGGGAAUUUGGGGCCAUCUCAAAGGAACAGUAGCUGGACCCAGGAAGCUCCUGAUUGGCCUCUGCCCAAGGCAGGAAGCAUGGAUUCCACCACACUAGAGCCUUGGCCCUCUGCUGGAGAGCAUAUAUCUGCACCACCCCUCACCAACGGUGGGGAGGAGCCCUCCUCUCUGAUAGGGUGUGGGGCAUGGGGGUCACAUGCAUCCCUGGGAUAGUCAGGAACGGAGAGAAAACGAGACCUCCCCUCUAGCUGCCAGCUGGGGAAGAACCAGAUGGUAGCCCUGGCCCUCCAGGUCACCCUGAUGUCUCCAAAGCCUGAGGUCUUCAGCAGGGACCCUCCCAACUCUUCUAAUUCCCUAUUGUGCAGGGGAAACGGGGCCUUUGCCUUCCCCUGCUGGAGAAAACUGGGUCCCUACCUAAAAUGAGGCAGAAGGCAUCUUGACUGUUGCUCCCAGAUGUCUUGUUCACAGGGGGAAUCCUCAGUCAACACACAAUCCUUCCCCGCCCCCACAGAGACCUGACCUCCUCAGCAGCACCCCUCAGCAGCACUCCUCCAUGCCCCAGGGGUCUCAGACUCAGCCACAGACAGAGAGCAGGGAGGACCGUCCCUCCAAGAGGAGGGACCAGAGGGUGGAGGGAUGAACAGCGACCCACCGGGAGAGAGAUGCCAGGCAGGCAG